rnacentral:lncRNA from 1 species
GGUAGAGUCCUGCCAGCAGUAGGUGUUACAUUACAGUUACAGCAACUUUCAGAAGAGAAAUGAUGAUUCUGAAACCUGCAAACUUCACAGUGUAGAGUUGGUCACUCCUCCAAUAGGAGUUCAAAGGAGACGCCAUGUGACGAGGCUGUAUGUGAGAGAAGCAGUGGACGCUGUGUGGAGAGAUGAACACAGAGGGCCAGGUCUGCUGCCAUGGUGUCUGCCUCCCCACCUUAGGGCCCCAGUUUUCCUCGGCCUCUGCGUAGGUGAGCCCCAAGUUCCAGCUGG